GCCAAGUGUGAUGGCAGGCACCUGUAGUCUCAGCUACUGGGGAGGAUCACUUGAGCCCAGGAGUUCUGGGUUGUUGUGAGUUAUGCCUCUCAGGUGUCCACACUAAGUCUGGCAUCAACCCAGUGACCUCCUGGGACGGAUGAACUAGCUUAGGUUGGAAAUGGAGCAGGUCAGAAUUCCUAUGCUGAUCAGUAGUGGGACUGCGCCUCAGAAUUGCGCUCCAGACUAGGCAACAUUUUGAGAU
ensembl:misc_RNA Metazoa_SRP Metazoan signal recognition particle RNA